UAUUGCAUGCUUGAACUAUGGUAA
rnacentral:miRNA from 1 species